GGGGCACACCCAGCUCCGCUCUCAAAUCUGGUAGGAGAGACGGGAGACAAGAUCCUGGGGACAAGGGCUGAGGAAGGUCCCCUACCAAAGGACAGCUGGCUUGUGCAAGGCAGCCAACCCAGGAAAGUCACUCUGGCUGCGGAGACCAAAAUACAUCUGUGGAACAGAACACUGCUGAACCAUAUGCCGAACUGGGAACGCGGGCUUUACGGCUGCCGUCUGAACAGGAGCCGGGCCAAGCCCCAGGUUUCCGCAGGAAAGGCCCAGAGGGUUGCUCCGAUCCAAUUACCCGAAUGUGCUCACAUCCACCAGCAGGGCCUGGAUGGGCCAGCCCAUUUCUGCCUGGAUGCCUGCUGCAGGGGUUGUCAUGGCAACGUAAGCUCGGAGCUGCUGAAACUUGAAGUCAACUCAUCGCUGAGAUGACAGGAAGAAAGACUAAGGAGGGCACCUUUCUGAGUGAUGUGGGUCAGACGGAUCCCAGCUAAUCCUGCAAGCCAUAUCCCAAAAGCAGAAGUGGGGUCUGGCGUGAGCACAUGUACAGUAGUAGCAACACCCACUGACAUAGGUGUGCCAGGUAAAUGCCUAACUGUUUCAUGAUCCACAUUAUCUGCCUCCUCCCAGAAGCCCUCACCAACCUCCCCAGUGCUCCCACACUCUUCCUGCCCUGCUCACCCCUGACUGCCCCUCUAAUCAGGCACCUUCCUGUUUGUACAUUGCGGCGCUGCCACUAGCCUGUGAGUUCCCGGUCCCAAGUCCCAGCCUGCCCCACCUCUCUUCAGGCAGAUACACUUUUGUCUGUCCUGCUUCAAUCCAAGGGGAAUGCAAUGAGCCACAUCAGGCACUUGGCACCGCGGGCCCCUCUCCCCCCAAGAUGAAUGUUCACAUAGCCCAAGCUAACAUUCUUUUAGAGAUGGAAAGACUAAGAGCCUGAAGCUUCUGGAGCCUUCCUUGAAAGUAAAUCCUGUUGGGGAAAAAAACCCACUUCAGGGCAGCAGGAGAGAGGCCAAGUCCUAGUGAUUUUCCUGUGUCUGAAGGCAAAGCAGUCCUCAGACUCUAACUAAUGAAUCAGUGCAAAACCCUACAAAUCAGCCUGUUACCCAUUUCUUUGCUUGUGUCACUUUGAGUUGAGUUUCGGUCACUUGCCACCAAAGGAAUCCUGUUUAAUCUAUCCCAGGGAUGUGCUCUAUCUAUAACUCAGUUCUCAGUUCCUCUCCUGUGCAACCUCAAGUAGCACCGCUGGCCUGCUGUUCACUGAGCAAAAUGGGGCAUCCCUCCUGAGUUCCUAAAGGUGCUGUGAGGUGUCUAAUGAGGUUGGUGUCUAAUGAGCAUCCCUGGGGAGAUGGCAGGACAGACGUGACAGGCACAAACUGGUGUCAGACAUGCCAGGUUCCGGUCCUCCUGCUGGAUAUUAGACAAGAUGGUUAAGUGACUGUGUGCGCUAGUUUCCUUAGCUGUUAAGGGUGGAUGAUAACAACCUGUCAGGGUAGUUGGA